rnacentral:sRNA from 1 species
CCCACAGGUUAUAGCCCAGAUCGCUUGUUUUAUUUAUAGAUAUAAGCUUUGAUUGCAGGAAAAGAUUAAAGAUUGAUUGAUAUAGAGAGGAGAAUGCCUCCUAGAACUCAAGCUACCAUGGGGAUAAAUACCCCAGCUAGCAAUGAUGAUAUUGAAUACAAACCUACUACUACCCCUGGGCCACCGGGCCCAACAACAAUUGAUACCUUGAUACAAGAUGAAUGUCUGAUGUGAUGGGUUAGCACCUGUUAGUAGUCAACUUACGCAACCAAUCCCAUACUGCUCCAUGCUCGCGCGCUCACGAGUGCCUACAAACACUCCCCUCCUCGCGAUUCCGCUCCACAUUCGCAUAGUCCCUAAUGAUUCCUCUGUGUAACCCUUAAUGCUCUUCUGCUCUGCGCCCCACCUUGGCGCGACCUCUAAUAUUCUUCCGUUCCGAUUCCCCUUCUAUAAGAACCUCUUCGUACGACCCUUUCUUCUAAUCUCUUUUCUCUUUCCUUUCUUAAUCAAUUUGUAAUCUGUAAUUAGGAUAGUGCUUAGUCUGUUAAUCGGUAGUACGCCCGUUACAUCUGAAGAGAAUGAAUGAAUAUUUGAACAGAAGAAUGGGAAAAUCCUUACAAAAAUCAGUUGAAAACUCUGAUUCUCUGUCAAGAAGAGAUCAAGAGAAUAUCAAAUAAGAGAAGAAUGAGAUGAAACUGACUAUACAAGCCACUCAGCUGCCACUGUUACUACUCCUCCAUCUACUGAAGAAUUCUCUGAAGAAUCAACUAUCAAAAAACUCUCUGCAAGAACCACCAAAGAAUCCUCUAUGAGAAUCAUCAAAGAACCCUCUAAGAAUCAUCAUGAUAAGAUUGAUCAUUAAGAAUACCACCACCACCACCACUGCCAUCAGAGAAUCUCUCAAACGUCAAUACUACUACCACAAACUGAAGCCUCACAAAUGCUGAAAGGGUGAAGGAUAGAAGGAUAGAUAGAUUUGAUUUCAUUUGAUUUGAUUUGAUUUAUUUGAUUUCAUGUAUAAUAGGAUUUCUAGAU